AAAUAUUGUAUAAAAUUUAUCAUUUUUACAAAAUACAUGUUGGGCUACUUUGUAUUGUGUGAUUUUCCUGAUUUUUUGUUUUAUUAUUAGAAUUUAAAAAGAUUCAAUUUUCUCAAAAAAUAUGAAUUAUAUGUAACAAUAUGGACAUAAAAUAAUUGAUAAAACAAAGAUUUACUCUUUCUGUUUUAUAAAGAAUGUUAUUUUAGUUUUUUUUUUGUUUCAAAAAAGUGUCUUUCUAUAUUUUCAAUGUACUUUUCAUAUUAUACUUUCUAACCCUUUAAAUGACCAAUAAAUAUUUAGUUAAAUCAUUUUUAUUUAAACAAUUGUAUAAUAACUAAGAGUAGAUUAGUAUAUUUUUUGUUAUUUUUUUAAUCCAAGUGAAAUGUGAAUAAAGGAUACUUAUUUUGAAACGAAAGGAGUAUAUCAUAAUAACCCAAAACACAUACGAUAUGGCCCAGUUAAGAUCCAUAAACAAAAAUGCAUUAAUACUAUCAUCAAAUAUGGAAACGAUAACUUUGGUGUUUUUGUUCAUAUCUGGCAGAUCUGGUUCUCUGGGACUGCAAUUCUAUGUAUGUAUGCUAACUGGUUGAAAGCACAUGUGUAAAUUUAUAAAAGGUUAUGGUGUCAAAUAUUACUGUAUCGCCAAUUAAGGAAACAAUAUUCACGAUUAGGCAAUAUAUGGAAAGUGAGAGCAAAUACGCAUGCGCAAAAAUGGUUUAAAAAUUAAUCAUGAUCCACACACUCUCGUAAUCAAAUAUAAGAUUUAUAGUUGAAAAACAAUAAGGUAGAAGAAUUCAAGAGAAGUUAUUAAAUUUUGAGAUUCCAUUAUUAUUGGUUUAUGGAUUUUUAAAAUUUAAUUAGAAACCAUUGUUAUUGGGAUGAUGACUUUUAAAUUCCACUUAAAAUCUUUUGUUAUUGGAAAAGUUUAGUUUCAUUGAUUUUAAGAUUCUAUUAAAAUCUACUGUUAUUGGGAUGUAAAUUCUCUUUGUUUUAACUCAUAAGACUAAACUUUGAGAAUAUCAUCUAUACUCAUAAGAUUUUUGAAAUCUAUGCAAUAAAAUACACUCGCAUACAAAAACACACAAAAUUGAACAAUGAAAUAAUACAAAUCACAACUUUAACAUAAAAGUAGAAAGCAAAUAUUAAAAAUUUAAUAAAUGUAAAAAAAAAAUUAAAAUAGUUUUAAAAAGUAUUUUCGAAUUCAAAAAGAAUUAAAAAAUACAAUUUGAAAAAAAAAUCGAAAGCUUUUAUAUAAAAAGUUCAAACUUAAAACCAUAUAUUUUAAAAAUUAUAAAAAAUAACUUUUAUUUAUAUAUCUAUAUAUUAAAAGGUACAAUGACAUUUUGUCUUUUUAAUAAUUGAAAUGAUUCUUUUUUCUUUUCUCCUAUUAUACCAUUAAUUUUUUACCAGUUAAUAACAAUCAAUAGAAUCUUAUACACGAGUAAUGAAAAUCUAUGUAAGAAUAUUGGAUAAAAUUUGUCAAAUCUAGUUAACUUGUAAAAUCUUCUCAACUAUUGAAAUCAUCAAAUUCCAUUAAAAUUCAUGUCCCAAUAACCCCUCCUAAAUAUUUCUAAUGCAUUAAUAUUUAAAAAAAUGAGUAUUUUAUACGCAUAAACAAUUUAUGGAUAUCGUUAGUCCAUUAUUUGAGUAAAUUCUCCAGGGAAGUUAGAGUUUAUAGUGAUGCAAUUGUACCAUGAACGUAGUUAAAAAACUAAAAAAAUUACAUAUGAUGGGCUUUGUUGUUACUGAACAUAUUUAGCAAAUAAUUACAUUACCAAAUAUGGGUCUAAAUUUGUUAUAGUAGAGCCCAAUAUUAUAAUAGAUAACUCAAAAAUCCUACUACAUACGAUGGACUUUUUGAAAAUUGAACAUAUUCAGUCCAUUUCUUUUAUGAAUUAUGCAAUAAAUUAAAUAAUAACAAAUUGACUCUCUCGGGACAAAAAAAGGAUUAGGGUUCUAACAAAAUCAAGAUAUUUCACCAGAGGAACACAGGUGAGAAGACGUCUACGAACUACCGAGCAUAUUGUAUUCUUAUUAUUUGUCCCUACCACCAAUUCUUUCCGAUUACUGAUUCUUUUUUCUUUUCAAUUGAUCUCAUUGAAAAAAAAAACAAAUUUCCCCGACGAUCCUCUGAUUCAUCUGCAAAUCAUUGUCCUCAAAUGGCUUUGGGGAAGAGACGCGGUGGAUUGGUGAUUGCUGGCUGAAUGAUUCCAAAACUGAUACGGAUACAGUGUGCAGAUAACUGAAGAAUCGAACAUAUAUUGUUUCAGUAUGAUGGAUCUAUUGUGUUUCAGUACUGUCCAGGGUCCAGGGAGCAAUGAUCGUGUAACAUAGUUUCUAUUGUAUUUUUGUUAAAUGUUAAGCUAAUGUAAUUAAGGUAAUAUAAUUUGAAUGAACAUUGGAGAAUGACAUUAUUAAGGGUGGACUGUCAAUGGCAUUUGUUGUAAAUUCUCUAGGGAAGAAUGGGCAGUUAAUUAUAUAGGCUGAGAGUGAAUAUGGUGCUGCCACAUAAGGAUGGCAUCCCUGUAAAUAAUUUACACUUGUAAGGUUAUAUUUUCAAAAUGUUUCUUCAUUAAUAAGAAAGGGAU